CUGUCAUGUUGAUUUACCUCCUUUUUUCUCUUUCCUCUAAAACAUGAGGGAAAAAGCAAUGAAAAACUUCUUGACCCCCGUGCAUUUAAACUCCAGGGUGGAGACCUUUAAGGGCCUCUUGGACGUCUCGGGCCACCAACUUCAGCUCAGCCUGGGACUGGGAGACGCAAGAGGGCAUUGAUCACCUGCUAGGUAUUCUACAAACCUUGGGACAAAUAAAAUAUGCAGGACUGGGCUCCGUUGAAAUAAAGGCACAUCGCUGAGACCUCCAGUUCCCCCUGAGGCAGGAGCUGUCCAGGUUGUUAGGGAGCUAAACCCAGAACAAAGGUGCAGUUACACCUCAGCCCAGUUAGUUACCUGGGUAGCAGCUGUGGUACAGGCUCUGUAAAAUGAUAGAUGGCGGAGGGGGAGGAGCUGGAGCUGGGUUCCCGGUUUGUGCACAGCAAGUACAGUAUGUCUGGAAAGUUUGUCUGGCUGUGGGACACUGCUCAGUGGCAGGCCAGGCCUGGAGUCCAGAUCCAGAAACCCCGACCCAUGUGCUGGCCUUGGUAGCAGUUUUCCAGCUCUCUCUACCUGCCAGGCACACCAGCAAGGCAGGACCCCCGCCCUGAGUCCUAGGCCUGCAGCGGGAUAACCUGGAGAAACCCAGUUUUUACACAGGUGCUCAUGGAGGGAAGGUGUGAUCAGUUUUCAGGACAAUGGUGAAAUCUAGAACACUUGGAGUACUCACACCUCUCAAAUUCCGGUGUCCACUUGGAAGGGGAAGCCCUCUCUAAAGCCUUGGCACCUUUGGGGACAGCUACAUAUGUUGGGGGCUUUACUUCCCUCUCUCCUCAUCCUAACCAGUGUGGGGAGAUAGCAAAUCCUCCUCUACCUCUGGGGACACAGCAAGCUGGGAAUGGAAAAGAGGGAGAGGAAGAAAACACACGAACAACUUUGGUGCCUACUCCUCCCUUUCAUCCGACCCCUGUUUGGAAACGAAUGAAGCAACACCCACCAGUGGACUUCCAGACCUGCCUGUCCCCUCUGCUCCAUCUGCCCCCAGGGGAUGAGACCCCCGUGUCCCCACUCCCGGGGCACCAGCAGCACCAGUACCAAUGGGAAGAAUCAAACAACAGCAAACCACUGACUAUAAUUCCUCCAGCCUAAAUGUCUCCCACUGCACAUUUCCCAACGCAGUAAGCGACACCUCGCCCUGGAAAAAGCUCGGCACAAAGCGGGGUGAAAGUUGAAGAGGGAAUGAGCUUGUAAUAGUGCCUCGCCAGACCUCACACAUGCUGAAGGAUAUUUACAGCAAACGUGCCAAAGUAAACUACCCCGCCUACCCACCACCAUGCCCCCUCCUCGCCUCUUUUUUUUUUUUAAACUUCAGAUAAAUACCUUUCGGUC